AAUAUAGUUCAAAUUUGUGAAAUGAAUUGAGAUUUGUAGAAUAAGUGGGAAUCGUUUUCGACACAAAUGAAAUACCACUACUUUUAACAUUAUUUUACUUAUAAUUUUGUGGGGCAGAGACGGGGCAGUUACCCUAUUUUUGGCCUUAAUUCAUGUUUCGAUGGGUCGAUAUGGGCGGAAAACAUUGCCAUGUGGGGAUU
rfam:Picea glauca, whole genome shotgun sequence.